rnacentral:rRNA from 1 species
UACGAAGGGAGCUAGCGUUGUUCGGAAUCACUGGGCGUAAAGCGCACGUAGGCGGAUGUGUCAGUCAGGGGUGAAAUCCCGGGGGCUCAACCUCGGAACUGCCUUUGAUACAGCACGUCUUGAGUCCGAUAGAGGUGGGUGGAAUUCCUAGUGUAGAGGUGAAAUUCGUAGAUAUUAGGAAGAACACCGGUGGCGAAGGCGGCCCACUGGAUCGGUACUGACGCUGAGGUGCGAAAGCGUGGGGAGCAAACAGGAUAGAA